rnacentral:tRNA from 1 species
GCUCUCAUAGCUAAAUGGAUAAGGCACCUGCCUCCUAAGCAGAAGAUUGUCGGUUCGAGUCCGGCUGAGAGCAC